CUUGCGGAAUCGGAUCCGAUUUUGUAAAAUUUUGUCUUCACGGCCGCCAUUGUUAUGUGUUUACAAUGUUGUUUGUGUCAAUCAGAUACGAUUUUACUCGAAUUUCUACAAUAUUUGUCGGCGAUUUUCUGUAUAAAGCUAGCGGUUGAACAAAAUGAACACCGCCGUUAUGAAUAACAAUGAUAAAAAUAAGUUUUUAGCUCGUUUAAUUGGAGACUUUGGUGAACAUGGUGAAAAGGUUUUCAAAGUAAUUUCUUAUUUUCUUUCCCAUGGAAGGUAACUACGUCGGGCGUAGCUAGAAACCAACUAUCCUAGUC
rnacentral:lncRNA from 1 species